GGGGCGACAUCAGGACAGUAGCCCAAACGCAGAUGAUGCACUUUGACCCUGUUUAACUGCACCCUCUCCGGCUCUGAUGAAAGAUAUUUCAUUGGAAUCCACCAUGUGAUUAGCUCCAUCUUCCAACACAAAUCGCACCCCAGAGAUUCUAUGAGCUGUCAGCGGACCCUUUUCACAGGCUUCAUGGAAACCCUGCCAAAACAACAUGCAGCGUUAUGACAUCUACAACAUGUAAAAAAGGUCUAAAAGAGAAAGCAGAACAAAUAAACUCCAGAAAGAUCCAGAAAGCAGGGCUGAAAAAAAAACCAAGUCAUUGAUAUAUGCAAAAGGAUAUCUAGCUGAAACAAUUCACUGAGCAGCUAUAAUGUGAAAUUUGUUAUCAGAUAUAUUUGAGAUGCAUAUUAUUUAAGGGGUGUCAGAAGUAUAUAGAAACAGAAAGAUCUGAUGAUGGAUCUGAAUGAGAAAUGAGAGCAGGAAUCGGCAACAGAUAUUUGAGAAGAAUGGCUUAUGUUGUUUUGUAAACAUUUUGUAACAUGAUAUGGUAAUAUUUUAAAUUCUAUUAUUAAACCAACUUACAGUGCCAUAGGUUUUAUGUAUUCUAGUUAGUUUUAAUUUUGCCUCUUAAAAAAAGCCAUGAUCACAGUGAAUGGC